rnacentral:tRNA from 1 species
CUUAAGAUAGCUCGGCUGAUAGAGCAAAGGACUGAAAAUCAUCGUGUCACCGGUUCAAAUCCGAUUCCUUAUA